CCUACGGGGUGCAGCAGUGAGGAAUAUUGGUCAAUGGGCGAGAGCCUGAACCAGCCAAGUCGCGUGAGGGAGUACUGCCCUAUGGGUUGUAAACCUCUUUUGUCGGGGAGCAAAAGCCGGACGUGUCCGGCUGUGAGAGUACCCGAAGAAAAAGCAUCGGCUAACUCCGUGCCAGCAGCCGCGGUAAUACGGAGGAUGCGAGCGUUAUCCGGAUUUAUUGGGUUUAAAGGGUGCGCAGGCGGAAUGUCAAGUCAGCGGUAAAAUUUCGGGGCUCAACCCCGUCGUGCCGUUGAAACUGGCGUUCUUGAGUGAGCGAGAAGUAUGCGGAAUGCGUGGUGUAGCGGUGAAAUGCAUAGAUAUCACGCAGAACUCCGAUUGCGAAGGCAGCAUACCGGCGCUCAACUGACGCUCAUGCACGAAAGCGUGGGUAUCGAACAGGAUUAGAUACACCGGUAGUC
rnacentral:rRNA from 1 species